UCUAGAGCUAAUACAUGCAGCAGAGCUCCGACCUUCGGGGACGAGCGCUUUUAUUAGACCAAAACCAAUCGGACCUCGUGUCCGUCCUUCGUGGUGACUCUGUAUAACUUUGGGCUGAUCGCACGGGCCUGUCCCGGCGACGUAUCUUUCAAGUGUCUGCCUUAUCAACUUUCGAUGGUAGGUUACGCGCCUACCAUGGUCGUAACGGGUAACGGGGAAUCAGGGUUCGAUUCCGGAGAGGGAGCCUGAGAAACGGCUACCACAUCCAAGGAAGGCAGCAGGCGCGCAAAUUACCCACUCCCAGAACGGGGAGGUAGUGACGAAAAAUAACAAUACGGGACUCUUUUGAGACCCCGUAAUUGGAAUGAGUACACUCUAAAUCCUUUAACGAGGAUCCAUUGGAGGGUAAGUCUGGUGCCAGCAACCGCGGUAAUUCCAGCUCCAAUAGCGUAUAUUAAAGUUGUUGCGGUUAAAAAGCUCGUAGUUGGAUCUCAGUUCCAGACGGGUGGUCCGCCUACCGGUGGUUACUGCCUGUUCUGAACAGUCAGCCGGUUUCUCUUGAUGAUCUUCACCGGUUGUCUUGGGUGACCGGCAAGUUUACUUUGAAAAAAUUAGAGUGCUCA
rnacentral:rRNA from 1 species